AGGUGCAGAGGAACCAGGAAGACCGGUCACAUUUUUGGCUUCUGAGUUCCUGAAAAGGCUCCGGUGAAUCAACAGUUAAUGCUUUCUUCUUUAAAAGAAAAGGUGGAGAUCCCAGGAUGCUGGCUCUCAACACACCAUUGCUAUGCUGGUGCCCUGACUGACUAAGUGUGAAAAUGCCCAAAGGAAGGGCUCUCCAUUUCUCCUCGGGUGUGCCUAAAGGGACAUCACCUCCCCUUAGUUUCAAGACCUCAGACAACACAGGCUCCUACCCACCAGUCACUGGCCAGGAGAGAGAUCAGCACAGGGUGGUGAGCUCAGCCUCCCUGAAGCUCAGCCAAUGACAGCUUCCUGACAGGCGAAGAGAAGAGCAGAAGCUGGGA
ensembl:antisense Banf2os barrier to autointegration factor 2, opposite strand